rnacentral:rRNA from 1 species
CCUACGGGAGGCAGCAGUGGGGAAUAUUGGACAAUGGGCGAAAGCCUGAUCCAGCCAUGCCGCGUGUGUGAAGAAGGCCUUUUGGUUGUAAAGCACUUUAAGCGAGGAGGAGGCUACUUAGAUUAAUACUCUAGGAUAGUGGACGUUACUCGCAGAAUAAGCACCGGCUAACUCUGUGCCAGCAGCCGCGGUAAUACAGAGGGUGCGAGCGUUAAUCGGAUUUACUGGGCGUAAAGCGUGCGUAGGCGGCUUUUUAAGUCGGAUGUGAAAUCCCUGAGCUUAACUUAGGAAUUGCAUUCGAUACUGGGAAGCUAGAGUAUGGGAGAGGAUGGUAGAAUUCCAGGUGUAGCGGUGAAAUGCGUAGAGAUCUGGAGGAAUACCGAUGGCGAAGGCAGCCAUCUGGCCUAAUACUGACGCUGAGGUACGAAAGCAUGGGGAGCAAACAGGAUUAGAUACCCUGGUAGUCCAUGCCGUAAACGAUGUCUACUAGCCGUUGGGGCCUUUGA